rnacentral:tRNA from 1 species
AAUAAAAUGGCUGAGAUUCAAGCGAUAAAUUGUAAAUUUAUUUACGAGAUAUAUCUCUUUUAUUA